rnacentral:lncRNA from 1 species
UCCGACUUCCUCGGCCACUUUCCGGCCUCCGACGUCCCUCCUCCUCCCUUCGUCUUUCCCGUAGCUCCGCCUCCUCCUCCUCCUCCUCCUCAUCUCUCCCUCUCUGCUGUCGACGACUUCGACUCCGUCUCCAUCUCCGAUGCUCUGCUGCCUCACAACUCCGACCUCGGCAACAGUUGCAGCAGCGGCGGCUCCUCGAGUUCCCUCACCACGAGUUACUCCACUCAGAGACCGAGUUUCAUCCAGAGAAGUGUGAGCAGCCACUCGCUUCAGCACAACGGCCGCCACCCCCACCCCAUUUCGCUGGUGUCGGAGUUCCUGGAGUCAGAGUCGCCUGUGAGGAGAGUUUACAGCACCGGCGAUUUGCAGGUGAGCUUCUCAAAUCACAUAAAUACCCACGCUCAUUGUCUGUAACUACUUCACGCCAUUGAUCUCCUUUAUCAAAGCUCCGAGGUUGCAACCCGACAAAGAUUUAGAUGCAACUCAGCCACAUGCAACUUCAUGUAGACCCAAAACUACCAUAAUUGAAUAUCUUCAUUUAGUACAACACUCUGAUAUUAUUGCAUGUUUUUUCCUCUAUUAUUCAUAUAUUUUGGUACGUAUAAAUUCUAGAAUUACUAGUAAUUAAUAAAAGGGUUCAUUUGUUUUAAUCUUGUUAAUAGAGAAUUAACAUGAUGCAACACCAUCAUCGACCCGAAAUCUCCAUAUCGAAUGACACUAGUAUCAUUGAAGGUAUGAUGACCAAGGCCUCUCGAUACAGUCCGGAGGAGAAGAAGGAGAGAAUAGAGAGGUAUAGGAGCAAGAGGAACCAGAGAAACUUCAACAAGAAGAUUAAGGUUUAACUUUGUUCUAAAUCUAAAUCAAGGCUUCUUCCACUAGAGCAUUAAUGCUAUAUAAAAACAGUACCCUCUUUGUAAUUUUACUUGAUUUGUUUCAAAAGUGUUUCAGUAGAGAAAAAGAAAAGGCCACUUGGUAUUAAAAGUAAACAAUUUUCCUGCUUUGCUUUUCCUUUAUAUAUAUAUAUAUAUAUAUAUAUAUAUAUAUAUAGUAGUUGAAGAAGUUGAUUUUGUUUGUUGAAUCAGUAUGCGUGUAGGAAGACAUUGGCAGACAGUCGGCCGCGCAUCAGAGGGCGGUUUGCGAGGAACGAGGAAAUUGAGAAGGGUUCGCAGAGUCAGUGGAGUAACUUAGGAGGGGAGGAAUGCGAGGAAGAUGAUGAUAAUUGGACCAAUUUUCUGGAUGCAUUUUCAGCGAAUCUAGUGCCCUAAAGUUGCCGUGGAAGCUAAGCUUCCUGUAUGUUGUAAUGUGGUGGCUAAUGUUUUAGUGUGGCAAAUUCCUAUUUGUAGCAGUGAUAAUGCAUUUGUAGUCUUGUGAUGAAGCUUAAAGCUCAGGUGAUGUAAAUAUGGUUAAUGACAUAAUUAUUAAUGACAAAUUUUGCCUUCAAAAGGACUUGGACAAGGCAUGAGAAUGUAUCAUUUUCCUUGGUAUUCUGUGUUGCACUACACCCAGAAAUUAACUACUGGACUGAAAUUCAAAGGGAAUAAGAGUAUGUUUUCCAAACCAAACCUUUGAAAAGUAUGGUUGUGGAAUGAGAAAGGAGAAGAAAAAGUACAUGACCAUGACAGCCAUGGUGCCAAUCACCAGUAUUGCCAUGAGAGUGACACAACCAACUAUCGACUUUGGCCUCAACCAUGGAUGCCUACUACUGCAACCAAAUAUCAAAUAUAGGAUAGGAGUAGUGUGUAAAAUUCGGCUGGAUGGGAAUGGGAGCUAAACCUAGGUUGGUUGUGAAUUGUGAUGGGGAAUGUCAAAAGGAGGGCAUUUUGUGAUGCGAUUGUCAUGGAGAGAGAGAGAUUGGACAGGCACAAAGAGCCUAGUGAAUGUGAGGAUUGAAGAGUGUGGCACACUGCUCUUUUGCGAGGAGAUAAUGAUGACCAAAAAUUCAAUCAUCCCUGGGAUCCAGUUUGGGUUAAAUGAAAUAAUGAGGGUUUGAAUUUACUCACCGACUGGAUUCUCACAACUCACAAUGUGCAUUCGUUAAAACCACGAAAGAGACAAAGAUGGGAGGAGAAAAAAGAGUCCCUACUUUCUUUGAUUUUUAAGCCACGUAUCUUUGAUAUUGCCGGAAUCGCUCACACUCACUUUGGGCUCCAAAGUCAAAAAUCACCUCCCCCACAAGUCAACUCCUCUCAUAUAUCAAAACUACUAUUUUGGUGUGAAAUGAGAAGAUUAUGGCCCUAUAUAUAUGCAAAGAGAUAAGAGAUAGAAAGACAAGAGCACUGUUUUUGGGUAAAAUUUAAAUAUCAUAAUGCUCUGCAGCUAUGGCUUUUGCACGCCAUGCCUUAGAAGUCUUCCAUUAUUGAAUGCUAUGCUAUGAACAUCAAUCUUCAACCCCUUUUUCUCCAAACUUUCUCUGCUCUGCUCUGAUUUCAAGUUUUCUUUUGAUCUUUGAUCGUGCAGUUGAUUUUUUCAGUUUCCGUGUACUUUGACUGUUCAGUCUCGAGAAUCUGGUUGGGGGGCCUAGACAUUGUAUUAAAGAAUGCUGUUAAACGGUCCACUAGAAGCAUGUAAAGCAACAGCAAAUGACAGUGCAGGGUACACACAAAAGAUGGCAAUAGCCCACUACUGUUCUACUCCUUUAAAAGUGUGGGUUUGGCCUCGUUUAAAAUCAUACAUCUUAAUCUCUCUUUAGAGCGAUCACUUGGUGCUUCAUGUUACUGAAUGAUGAUGUUGAAGCUUAAAAUAAUAUGGCAUGAUUGGAGUCCUAAUGGUAGAAUUAGAAUCUGAAUCCAGACUUUCUUUAUACAAAGGCUAUUGUUCAAAAGGCAACCCCUAGAGGUUGGGAGAGCGGCUAUGUUGAUUCCUGUCGGCCGGCGGUGGGUUACCCACUUGAGUUAUUAAUGAAUGGCCUCCAAGGAUUAAAAAAAUUUAUAAGCUUAGGGCAGUUUGAAUUAUGAUCCCUUUUUUUAAUCCAAGGGCUCCAAAUUUUUGUAUCAACACAAAUGAUGAAUUCUUUAGGGGAUUGACCAGGUCUUGUAGACUGCAAAAUUUCACAGGAUUUGUCACCUUUCUCAAAUGUGACCAAAAUCUAAGUGGAUAUCCAUUGUUAACAAAGAUAUAAGGUAGUGUUUGUUUUUUUAACUUUUUGCUGAAAAUAAUUUGUUUUCAGAAUUUAGGUUAUUUGUUUUUUUACUUUUUAUGACUUAUUAUAAACUUUUUACUAAAUAAAAAAAAUCAAAAUAUAUAGCUUUUUCUAAAUAGAAAAAAUGACAUAUUAGUUUUUCUUUACUUUUUAAUACUUAAUAGAAAUAAAAUAUUACAAAAACAAAUAACCCAAUAUUUAAAACUAUUAAGCAUUAAGGUUUUAUUUAAAAUUAAGUAAAAAAACAAACACCACCUAAGUCAUACAACAAAAACAGUGACGGAAAGAAAAACUCAAAAGAAAUUAUAUGAAUAUUCUCAACUAUUUUGUAUAUGCCGAACAAAAACGAUGCUUGAAGAGGGAUCCUAAUACAUCUAUAAUAUCGUAGUCUUGUUUCUUUUUCGGUGAGCUUUCUUCUUGAAAAGAACUGGACUCACCAAGCGCUUGAAAGGAAACAGAAGUGCAGCCCUACGCGGUGUCCUCUGUUUUGCUUUGGCUUUACCUGUAUUCAGUAGACAUAGGAACAUGGUAAGUAGUAGGUAAGUGAAUUUGAAUUGGGAGGAAUAGUUAGGGCUUGAAGUAUAUUUCAUGAGUUCAGUGACCUAUAUAAGCUUAAAUUUGCAACCAAUGAUGGGAGUUGCAGGGAUGAGAUGAAUCAAAUGAAUGGUAGAAUUAAGAAACAAGAAUAUUGGUCAAAUGGAACAUUGGUGGAAACAUUUGGAAAUGUAAAAAUACAUUUUUAUGCCGUCUUUACCAAUAAUUGAAAUAAGGAAAUUUGAAUGAGAUGGGGAAAUGGGAUAGGAGAGAAUAAGAAAGUUAAAUCAAGGUGGUUGCAUUCAGUUUAGACAAGAAAAUCACAACCAUCCAGCAGGAAGGUAGUCUUUAAAAAUCAAACUAAAAUUCCUGCACCCCAAGCUGCUAUACCAGGAGCAUAAACAAUUCAAUUUAUGAAAAUCAUUCAGAGAACAGCAAUAUCAGAAUACUGUUGGCAUAUCAUCCAAUCCCUGGAACAUGAAUUAGAGCCAGUACCUGAUAUAGAUUCAUUGAUAGAAGGAUACUCAGUUUCAGAAUCAUCAGCUUGUUUUUGCGCUUCCACAAUCAUUUCGUCCAUUAGCUCAUGAUUUGCAACUGAAGAAUCAUUGCUGCCUUUCAGCUCAUCAUAGCACUCCACAGAGGGAGUUCCAUCAGAAAGUAAAACUGAAUCAUCUACAGGUUCCCUAAAUUCUCUUUCUGAGGAAUUGUCAUGCAAAAGCACAUUGUUUGAGGCCAAAGAUAAACUUGCUUCAUUUUUCAUAUCAGUGUCAACUAAAACUUCAUCCACUGUGACACUUCGUGCCCCCAAAACCACAUCAAAACCUUUUGCAUUCCUAGAUUCUUCAUUCUGUAAAACAGAAAGAUUCACAUCCCUGGUUUGGGUGGGGACUUCAAAUUUACCAUCAGCAUCAGCAUUACACACAGCAUCACACUCAAUGUCCAUUAACACAGUGCACAAUGUUAAAUUAUCAUCUGGUAACACAACAUUUGCUUCAGAACCAGCUGUGCACUCUUCUGAUUGCAAAUUAUCUAUUUCUGUUCUAACUGGGGAAAAAUCUACAAGGCCAUUUGAAAUAUUAGGUUCUUCCUCAGUGAUGGUAGUAUGUGUUUUAAUUUCUUCAGAAUCAAUAUCAGCUUUUGAAGUAUCAUUAGGCGAAAAUGAUUUUUUAGAAUCUUCAUGACCAGAUAUUUGACAUUUUGAUGGGGUAUUAUAUGAUGAUGUCUGUUCUGUUUCAGGAAAAAGUUUAAGCAUGUCUGGUUGUUCUGAUCCUCCAUUAGUUGGAACUGGUGCCCCAAUUUUCCCAUCAACAGACAUAGAGUUUUUAAUAUUAUCCACUGGCUGCAACACAGACUUUGUUCCUGAUAACAAAUCCUUUAGUUGCAACCCAUGCGGUGGCAUGUUGUCCACAAUUGAAGCAAAAUCAAUGGCUUUCACAGUCUUGGAUACUUUACCAGCAGCAGAGAAAGAUUUUGCCAUAUCAUCUAAGAGCAGAUCACCUUCACCACUAGAGAUGGGGUCCCAUUUAAGCCCAUUGCCAGACCAAGGUUCAUUGGAGUCAAAUUCACUGGAUGGUAUUAAUUCAACUCUGAUGGCCUCCUUGUAAAAUUGCUUUUUCCUUAAAGCAUUAGCUAUAAGAGAUCUGCAAGACAUGUGAAUGGUCAAUGUUUUAUGCAUAUCAAUCAUCAGCUAAAUGUCCUAAAAUGCUUUAGGUUUUCUGCAUACCUACAAUUUUUAGAAAUAGCUGCUUUAGCACGUUCCAUGGAGAGACCAAGCAAAGAAGAUAAAUUUGCAACAUCAUAUGGCCCUCUAAGCUCAUUUACAGAAGGGGCAGCACUUGAGAAGAUGAGAUUGUUUCCUCGAGUCCAAUCCACCAACAACUGGAAGCUUAGGUAGUGUGUUAGAUGGCUAGUUAAUACAUGAUUCAUCAGCAUCUCACAAGACAGAACAACUUGACCUUCAGGUAUAGGAAUAUGCUUACUCUAAUGUGUCCAAGAAGCAAUUAACAUAUACAGGCUGUGCAUACAACAUGAAAAAAUAAAUAAAUAAAUAAACAAUUUCAGCUUCUUGACAUGUCUAUGGAGAGGUCCUACACAUACUGGAUAGUUCAAAACCUACCCCUAUAGACUGGUCACAUAAAAUACAAACACUAAAUCAAGCCCCCCAUGCUGUAUAUCAAUUGGCUAACAGCAUAGUCUAAUCGUGCCAAAUUAUUGUCAGGGCUAUAGGUUUAAAUCCGUGUGUACAAGAAUGGGGAUUCUAUUGUAUUAGAAGUAGAAAUCAGAUAGCAAAUAUUGCAAAAAUGAGAUAUCCAACAAUUAUUUUUACUACCCGGCAUCGAUAAUCUGUAAUAUUCACUCUAAUCCUCAAAGACAUCCCUCCAGUAUUAUAGUUUUUGCAAAUAAGGCAAAAUCAUUGUAAGCUAAGACCAACACAAAAGUAACCUAAUCUUGAGUAUGCAUUGCCAGUUCAUUCAAAACUAAUUCCGAAAGAAAAAAGGUUGGAGUUAAAAUUUUGAAUACCAUUGCAAGAUUGCUGUUGAAAAUAACUAAAAAUAUAAAAUCAUGAAGAAAACAAUAGAAAAUUAAAGAUAAAAAUUAUUUGAAGAGCAUAUAGUGUUGUCUGCAUGAAGGAAUAUUAUGGAAGAAGAAAAAUAAUUUAUAUAUGUUAGAGAUCAACCCAUCAAUAUGAAUUAUAAAAAUCAAAUUACAAAGCCCAAAAUUUGACAAGUGGCAAAGAAAUUCUUCAAUUCUCACCUUGGCAUUCGAUAUCACUUGUUUCCUGGAUUGAACAUCGGAUAUAAGAUUAGAGUAUGUGAUUUCAAAAUACACCCCGCGCUGCAUAUCACAAAGGCAAACGUCAAAUGCCAUUCUGUAAUAUAUUUCUCACUCAAAACAUCAAAUUGUGAAACGGUAGAAAGAAAACCAGGGCAAGAGUAGUGAAGUGAAGAGGAUACCUUAAUUGCAGCUUUAACCAUGGGAAGCUUCAAUCGGAACGGCAGCUUCUCCGAGAAAUCAAUCGCGAUUAAAUCUACCUAAGUGAUUGAAGUAAAACAACAAUAAUGCUAUUUAAUUUAGCACAAAGUUUCAAUUGAAAUUCAACAGAGCACAAAGACGGUUGAACUUGAAUCCAAUGCAACUAUUUUUUAAACCAAAACACAACUUUCUUUUUGUUUUCACAGAUGAGACUAAGCCACCAACCUCAGAAACCUGACAGGCCUGAUCGAAGGCGUUCUGGUUCAAAGGCCGAACAGCGACCAAAUCGUAGGACUUGAGAACGGGGUUGCCAGAGUUGAGAGCGGAGGCCUGAGGGGAGGAGUCAACGGCGACAGUGAGGCGCGUGUACUGACGGAAGGGAGAGGAGAGAGGAACGCCGAGAAGGCUGCGGUGGAAGCGAACGGAGGAGGAGAGAGAUGGGGCCAGUUUGAGGAGAGAAGAGAGAGAGAGUGGGGGUAUUGAGCAGGAGUCUGAGUCCGACAUCACGCCCUUGAUCUUGCGGUUGUAGGCAACUCCGCUGUACCCUAGCUCCAUGGCCUUCACCACCACCUUUAUCCGACUGCUCUUGUCGCCGGCCGCCGUUGUCCCAUCGUAGGGGAUGUUAAGGUCGAAGAAUCCCAUCCUCCUCUGAGUUUCAGUUUUCUCCGUUUCUACGUUGAUAUACUUUACUGGUUAGGGCUGCAGCCUGCAGUUUGCAGAUGCAUGGGCUUUGGGUUUCAAAAUCAGGCCCAAAUUAGGCAGGCAACCAUGUGCAAUGGGUUAAUUUAAUUAUUAGGUUAGGCGAAGUCCAGACCUUUCUAGGCCCAAAAGUAGGCCCGUAAGAGUUAACCCAUUUUGGCAGUCUAAAUACUCCCGCGCGCGCACUGCCCAAAAGAAACACAAAAGUAUUUGAAACUAACGUCCACGUCAUCGAUCCGAGUAGCUUCCAAUCCUUUAUCUGAACCGUCCAAAUGAAACCAUGGACGACCGUAAACGCUCCCACAAACCACCACAAGGAUCAACCCCAAAUCUAAUCAACCAAAGCGUCCCGCUAUAAAUUCACAACUACCUGCUGCCGAUUGCCAUCGAACCCUUGUACUCCACCAAAUCUCUUGGAUUCAAAUUUUCUCAGUAAGUAUCAAUCUCUCUCGAAAUUCGCAGCUCAUCUAUCUAUCUAGGGUAUUGCAGUUGUCUCUAAUCUUUUGGGCUAUUAUUAUUACAGGUUUGAGCUUAAACAAUGUCGGGGCGUGGGAAGGGAGGCAAAGGAUUGGGAAAGGGAGGGGCAAAGCGACAUCGUAAGGUGCUCCGUGAUAACAUCCAGGGUAUCACGAAGCCAGCCAUACGUAGGCUGGCUAGGAGAGGAGGUGUGAAGCGUAUCAGCGGUCUGAUCUAUGAGGAGACCCGUGGUGUGCUGAAGAUCUUCUUGGAGAACGUCAUUCGGGACGCCGUCACCUACACGGAGCACGCUCGCCGGAAGACCGUGACUGCCAUGGACGUCGUCUAUGCUCUCAAGAGGCAGGGCAGGACUCUGUAUGGGUUUGGUGGUUAAGGUUUCACCUGCAAAAGUCUUGCUGUCAAGAAAAUUUAGAAAUUAUGUCGGUUUCUCGUUUGGGAAUCUAGGGUUUCAUAUUGGGGCUUCUGUAAUUACAGAUGUUUAGAUUUUCUUAUUGUAGCUGUUUUGUAAUCCGAAGCAUGAAUUACAAUUUCACUAGUAUUAUUGUAUAUUAUCGGUUCUUUCUUUCCUCUUUUGCUAUUUUGUGGUUUCUGCUUAAAAUUUGAAUGUGUUGGGAAAGGAGUGGCAAUGGUAUGAUUCGAAAGUAGCCUUCCGAUACAGGCCGGAAGGGCUUGAAUUGGUGGGCAAUGUUGCUGUUUUUGGGCGUCGUCAACCCGUAUGCAAUUAAUUGUCUUGUAUGUCUGCACUUUUGAAAUUGCAAGUGCCGCAUGAAUGUUCCACUCGCUUGCUCUGAUAAUAAUCGAUUGGCAUAUGCGCAGACAUGGUGGAGAAUGGAUUUAGUGGGUGAAAUUCUUGUGCCAAGGAAACAUUGCGGGCAGUACAGGGUCCAGGUUUCGAAAUGCGGGCAUGAUGAAACCAACCCCCACAGAGGCUGCAAGCUCACGAGUGACUUGUUGUGUGCGGGCAUUUGAAUUAAUUAGAACCUGGAUUCCCGAAAUAUAAAGGUAAACACAGAAAACUAAACCAUGCAUCAAGAAUUUUAAAGAUUAAAGAGCAGGCCCAACUGGUUAUUUUGCUCAUUUAAAAAUUCCAUUACAAAACUAGUUUGGUUUAGCAGUCUAAUCAAAUCAUUCCAAGGUCCAAACAAACUCUCAAUCAUUCUAAAAAGGAUGAGGGUUAAAAGUUGGAACCUAGAAAAUUCCAGAACUCCAUUAAGGCCCUGUAAAAUAGCAGUCUUUUCAGACCACAAAUCCACACUAUUGGCCUUUUAUUCUGCCUUGUGCUUUGAAUAUCUUCUAGCAUCCGAUGACCGCAACCCACUGGUACACCUUCCCACAAAUUUGAGUAGCUCAUCAAUCAGAAUUACCGGGAAUGCCACAACCAACACCAAGAGCCAUUCAUUGAGGCUGAGGGCAACAAUGCCAAAAAUUUGUGCGAGGAAUGGCACAUACACGAUCAAGAAGUGCAGGGCAAAAGAGAUGGACAUGGCAACGAGGAGCCAGGGAUUGACCCAUGGGGGCAUUGUCAAAAGGCUCCCAUCCUCGGAUAGGGCAUUAAGGGAAUUGAACAUCUCUAUGGCAACCAGGACAGAGAGGGAAAGAGUCAUGGCUUUGAUUUUUCCAGUCUGGAAGUAGUCACAUGGAUUUGCAUCAAAACUGAACACUUGCGCCCCUGCUGUGAAGGGUGAUGCCGAGAAACCCUCCCAGGAAGGGCAUUGACCCCAGUUAGCAAGUUGGGAAUAGGUAACAAGACUGUGGCCAUCUCCACUCAAAUCAAUCCCCAGGAAUGUCCCAUGUGUGUACCAUAUGAUGAAUAUUCCCACAGUUGCUAUUCCAACAUAGAGCCCAAUCACCUGUAUCAUAUUAGGAGUUAAGAUUGAAGUCAUAUAUAUCCAAGCGGGUCUUUUUUCUGGAAAAAGAACUAAAUCUAUGCAAAGAGUUAACUUUGAUUAUACAAGGAAAAAUGAUUACCAGAUAGCGGAAUAAAAUCCAGGGAGUGAUCAAUGAAUCAUCACUUCUUCUAGGGGGUUUCUUCAUUAUAUCUUUGUCAGGUGGAUUAAAUCCCAAAGCUGUUGCUGGGGGACCAUCAGUGACAAGAUUCACCCACAGAAGCUGAACAGGAAUCAGGCCUUCUGGAAUACCUAAAGCAGCUGUCAGAAAUAUAGAGGCAACCUCGCCAAUAUUUGAUGAAAUCAUGUACCUGACAUAUAGAGGAAGAGCAAAAAUAUAACCCACACAUACUACUGAGGAAACACUUCAAACAUGCAGAGAACUAAUAGUGUAGGAAUGGACCAAAUUUAGAACACUAGUAGAGUUGGAUCCAAUCAUCAGUAAAAUAUCAGCGUGGUGAAAGGUACAGGUUCCUGAGUGCCUAGCCAAGUAUUUACAUCAUGCAGAAAUGAAAUCACUCAAUUCAUCAUCAAGAUGUACUGGUUUGACAUUUAGAAGAAGGAACACUAAGUGGCUUCUGGUAUCCCUUCAUUUCUAACUCUCUCAAACGCAUGCAUGCAAGUGUGAAAGGCAAGACACUUAAAAGGGAGUUCUGUGCAGCCUAAUACCACAGAAAUAACAUAUUUUAGAAGAAAGGGCCUGUUUGAUAAUUCAUAAAUAAAUGGCCAAAGAUACAUAACUACAUGAAUAAGAACCAACUGUAACUUAAUACUAGUUUGAUAUAGUGCAAUCGUAGUCAUCAAAGAUCUAUAUUAUACAGGGAGGAAAAAAAACAAUACAUCUUAGAACCAUUCAGUAGAAUGCUUAUUUAUGUUAACACAUUUUAAAAGCGGAACAAAAGUAACUUCUUGUUUGAUAAUGUUGAUGGGAUAAAUCUCAUUAAAUAAAACUUUUGGAAUAAUGAUUCUCAGUGAACACUCUUCACAUUCUAGGUAAUUGUAUUAUAUGUCAAUUUUGUAAGCCUACCAGGUAGCUGAAUUUUCUUAUGCACAAAAGAAUCAAACCUGAUAAAAGCCUUCAUAUUGUUGUAAAUGGAUCUGCCUUCACCAACAGCAGCAACUAUUGUGUUAAAAUUAUCAUCUGCCAAGACCAUGUCAGAGGCUUCCUUUGCAACCUAAAUCAGUGCACAUAGGGGUUAGAAAACGAUAAACAAUGGACUAAGAAAAGAAUAUAGUUUUGAAUAACUUCAUCAUACCAAAAUUGGGGACUAGAUUAAGAGAAAUUGACUAAGAUCAUUCUGUCAAAUACAGUAAAGGGUAUGACUGACCAGUAAACAUAAGCAAUAUAAGCUGAUGGUUGUAAAAUGAAACAGAAAGCCAGAAAAUAAAACAAAAUUAAAAUAAAACUAGGUGGAGGCAGCAGAGAAGACCAAACAAACUAUGUAAGUAGAAAAUAUGGGCACAGAGUGGAAUGGUGACCAUAGCAGACUCUGAAGUGCACAGAUACAUGUAAAGUUAAGCUGGUAUACUAAUUUCAUCAAAUGCAUUUAAAAGCCGCAUACAUGCUUGUUCUCAUACUAGCACACCCAGGAAAUUUUCACAGCAAAACAACUCAUGAAAAAAACAAAAAAAGAAAAAACAAAUAUACAUGAUCCCAAAUAAAAUGCAUACGAAACUUUCUAAGAAGAAAUACCUCUGUCCCAGUAAUGCCCAUUGCAAUCCCAAUAUCAGCCAAUUUCAAGGCUGGUGCAUCAUUCACUCCAUCACCAGUCAUUGCAACCACCUCAUUAUCCUCUUUGAGCAACCUCACUAUUUCCUGCUUAUGCCUUGGUUCAGCCCUAGAGAACAGGAGGCCCCCAUUUUGCCUCAAAUGAGUUUUCUGAUCAUAAUGCUCCAUAAACUCUUUCCCCGUUAUGCUUUUUAAACUAAUGUCUUCCUUAGAUCCAAAAACUCCAAUUUCACGACAAAUAGCUUCUGCUGUAUUCUUGUUGUCACCUGUAAUAACCAUAACACGAAUUCCAGCUGCUCUACAGUCUUCAAUUGCUUGACGAACCUCUUUCCGUGGUGGAUCCUUUGAUAAUUUGGUAUUAAGUAAUGCAAUCAUUAGAAUUUUGAAUGGUUAUUAGAAAAAAAAAUCAAAAGCAAUUGAUAGAAAUAAAAUAUUGAACAAAAAAACAGCAACUUAACAUAAAGCUAACUCACCCUCAGCCCAACCAAACCAACAAAAAUGAGUUUACUUUCAAUUACAGAGUAAUUUGAUGGUCUAAGUAGAAGCUGAUGAGCUGGAUGGUCUUCAUCUCCAUUAUAUGUUGCAAACUCCAAAAGAUCUUCCUUGUAUGCAAAUCCCAAACAGCGUAAUGCACUUGUUGACAUUUGAUAAAGGCUUUGUAAAAUAAGAUCCCUUGAUUUUCUAUCAAGUUCUACAAUAGAACCAUCAAGCAACUGAAUAUAUGAGCUUCUUUCCAACACAUUUUCUACUGCACCCUGUCAUGUUGUAGCAAUUCAUAUUAAAAUGAAUGAUUUUACAAAAUGAGCAAGAAUGUGCAACAAAACUCAAAAGUAAUCACUGGAGAAUGAGAUGGAACAUGGAAAAAGUAGUGAGCAGGGGAAAAAAAGAAUCUGAUGUUAACAAGCAUCUGUUCAUCAAAAUUUAAUUUUUUAAACUAAUUCUCACAUGAUGGUAUCAAUGUUAUUGUAAUUGGAGCAAAAGGUAUGGGUGGUUUUCUUAAUACCAAUUACUCAUGAUCCACUUUACCUAAAGACCAAAAAUGUCUAAUAUAUAUUAUGAAUUUAUGACAAAAAAUGUAAACGGAAAGAAUGUACACACGGCUGAAUCUAGGAGACAAACAAACGGGAAACUACCUUCACUAGCAAUGCCUUUUUGCCUGAGCUGGAAUUCACAAUAACUCCCAUGGAUUUGCGAUCACGAUCGAAUUCAAGGGUUGCAAUUCGAUGUUCGAUUUUAUUCCAUAGUUGAGAACAACCUUAAAAUGCAUAAUGAUAUCACAAUAAAAAUGCAUUAACACCCAAGAGACAUGCUUAAGAAAAACAAAAACAAACAGAAAUAACAUAGCAACUUACGGAGUACAGCGCUAUUAUCCAAAGAUGAACCAUUAUCAAAUCCUUCAGGAAGUCCCAUUUUCUCAACCAGAACCUAGAAAGAGACACCACAAAAAAUAAAUAAACAGGUUUUCUGGAUAACAUAUGUGUAGUAACUUCGGCUAAUGUUUCAGUACCUUACUGAUAUAUUGCCCUCCAGAAGAAAUUUAUGGACCAGUAUAUCAUGAAUAUGACAAAGCAAAUAAAAGAACCUCAAGAAGAACAGAAAUUAGUGCUACCACCCGAGGAGCCCUGAUUUAGGUGCUCCUGAUGUGCAAAGAACUGGAACUCAACCUUCAAAUAUGUUGUUACCAAACGCUCAGAGGUUGAAUAACAUGAGGAAAAGUUUCAAUAUUAAGUUGUCUCAUAUGUGCUGUGUUAUUUUAUUUUUUAUUUAUUUUUUAUUUUUUGAUAGGCUUAAACAGAUUGACUGUCUAAUUAAAUAGAUGGUUUUGAUUUUUUUUUUUUCCCUUUUUAAAUAACAUAAAAUAGAUGGAUUUGAUUUGAAACCAGCAUGAAAGAAACAAUAAAUGAAAUAUUCCAAAAUUGUGGUUGUCUCACCUUCAAGGCUGCCUCAGUGGGCAUUCCAUUGGCAACAAAAUGUUGCCCAGAGUAUUCAACAUCAGCAUCAUUGCACACUGCUGCAAUCUUCGCAAUCAUUUGAAGAUUAGCAUCCAUCCGACCUGCAGGCCAGUCCAGUAUUCUUCCAUCAAAAGGACUAUAUGAGGUCCCUUCCACAUUGAAAUUUCGAACAGUGUACACCCUAGGGCCCAUAGCCACAAGCUUUGCAACUGCCAUUUGGUUGGUAGUCAAAGUGCCUGUUUUAUCAGAACAAAUUACAGUUGUACAACCAAGAGUUUCAACACUAGGUAACUUCCGAACAAGUGCAUUCUUCUGUGCCAUCUUUCUUGUUCCAAGCGCCAAACAAGUUGUGAUGACUGCUGGCAAACCUUCUGGAAUUGCAGCCACUGCUAACGCCACAGCAAUUUCAAAGUAAUAAGUGCACUUCUCAAAUGAGAAUUUAAAAUUCCUAGGCCACCCAUCAACAUACUCCCAAGUAAGGAAGUAUUUUACAUUAAUAAGCCAAACCAAUGCACAAAUUACUCCAAUUAUGGCAGUAAGAAGCUCUCCAAACUCAUUCAACUUCUUCUUCAAAGGUGUAUCUUCUUCACUCUGCGAGGCUUCAUGAAUUUGCAAAUGCACCUUCCCUAUCUCCGUAUUCAUUCCCGUCUCUGUAACCAAACAUAUACCAUUUCCAUUCACCACAGUUGUCCCUGCAAAAACCAUGCACUUCUUACCCUGAAUAUCUGAAUCCUCUGGCACAACCUUAGUUGUCUUAUUAACGGCUUCACUCUCUCCUGUUAAGGAUCCUUGCUCAACCCGAAGAGUCGAACUUAUCAAACUCAAAACCCGCAUAUCUGCAGGUACCUUAUCACCAACCCUUAAUUCAACAAUAUCUCCUGGAACAAGUUCUUUUGCCGGCAAAUUUGGAACCUUUUUACCAUCCCGAAUCACUGUUGCAUGCUCUGAUUGAAUUUCCUUAAGAGCCUCUAAUGCCUUCUCCGCAUUACUCUCCUGCCAAACCCCAACUAUAGCAUUCACAAUCAAGAUCAAAAAAAUCACCAAUGGUUCUACAAACGCAGUGAUUUCCAUUUCCCCACCCUCUUCGCCAUCGUACCAAGCCAAAACAAAUGAAAUAACUGCAGCAACCAACAGAAUCCUAACUAGAGUGUCAUUGAACUGAUCCAAAAUCAGUCUCAAAAUUGAAGGACCCUCAUGCUUCUCCAACUCGUUGUAACCAUAGAUCUCGCGCCGCUUUUCAACCUCAGCCGUUGACAAUCCGAAUUCGUGAUUCACCUGGAGCUUCUCUUCGCAUUCUUUAACAUUCUUCGCCCAUGCAGCGAAGAUUUCAACUGUGUUGGCAUCAUUAGGGUUUCUUUUCCCAUAGCCUUGCCCCCCUUUCCCCAUUGAAGCCGAAACUCCUAAAAAAAUAUUCUCUAAUCAAUUGAAGAUUAAAAUUGGGGGGAAAAAAAUCUCUGGAACUGAAAUCAAUGGAUCUCAAUAAAGUAAUAUCAUACCAGAAUAGUCUGAUUAUACAAAUCCACAAAAACCACAAACUGAAACCCUAAAAACAAAUUCCCCAGAGAAUUUGUCAAACAUCAAUCCACGAAAGUGCCAAGAAGACGCAGAAAAUGAAAACUGAACACUAUACUGUAAAAAUAGGAAACUUGUUAAUGAAGUUAGGGUUAGGAUUUGGAGCACCAGAUUUGGAAAGCUUCGCAGCGGGGGAAGAAAAGCUAUGGCGUAGGCGGAUUGCUGACUGAUGAAAGUUUCCAAAUCUAGAGAGAGAAUCCCAAGAGAACCUCUCUCUAGAAGCUACUUCCAACGUACCGUAGUCCACGAAUCUUCAGCCAAUGAUUCCACGCCACGUAAUAAAAUCAAUCCAGAUCUUGACCUUGUACGGUGGCUCAUGGUGGUCGCGCAGUUGCUAAGGCAGCCAUGGCCUACGUGGCGUUCAUCGAGUGGUGAGUCUCUUCGCAGCCUUUCACAUCAAAUUACCUUAUUGAUUUUAACGUAGUACGAAACUCCUCGCUUAUUCCCUUGCUAACACGCAAGGUCAGAUGGGUUAGGUUCCAAUUUUUAUUUGUAUCAUCUCAUUAUUUACGUAGAAAACCAGUCGUUUUCAUUACUUGAUGACGCAAAAUCACUAGCUGCUGUGUAGUAUGCAUUUUAUUUUUACUAUAUAUCAAAUAAAUAAAAAUAGUUUUUAAAUUAUUUAUUUAAUUUUAAAUAUUCAUAUUCCAUGAUUCAUAAUAUUAAAAACGUAUUUCAUAUUUUCGAAAAUAGUUUUAAAAAAAUUAAUAUUAUUUAAUAUUUUAUAAAAUAAAAAAUUUAUUUGAAAAUCUAAAAAUAUGUUUGAUUAUAUAUAUAUUUCAUUUAAAAAUAAUUUUAAAAGUAAGUUUUAGAAAAUACAGAAAACGAAUUAAUUUUUUUUAAAAAAGUAAAAACCAUUUUUACUUAUUCAUUAAAAUUAUUUUUUAUUUCAUUAUGCUUUAAAAAUUUGUUUCAAAAAAUAACGAUAAAAUAAUAUUAGAAAAUUUUAAAAAUAGUUUUUUAUUUUUAAAAAUAUAAAAAUAUUUUUAAAUUACACGUUAAAUAGACUUUAAAAUGUUUUAAUAUUUUUUAAAAUAAAAUUUGUGUUUAAUGUUUUAUUUUUUAUUAUGUUUGUAUAAUUAUUGAAGAAUGGGCGUCCCAAAACGAAAAAUGUCGGUAUUGCAAUUAUUGAAUCAUCUCAUUCCAACAGAAAUCUAUGUGAAUCCCACCGUCCCAUCACUGUCACCACCAAACCAACCCAUUCCCAUCCCAUCCCACUUUCACUUUUCCCUCUUCUUGGUCAUAAUUUGAUUCAUUACUUGAUCUUUAAAUUUACAUAACAUAAAUGCAUUUAUUUAAAAAAAAUCAUAUAAUUUGUAACUAUAAGUUUAAACAUUAAUAUUUUCUAUUUUUAAAAUAAAUAAUAAUAAUUUUUAUAUAGUAAGAACUCUUAAGAUUUGCAUGGAAAGUGCAAUAAUUUUAAUAUUUAUUUUAAAAAAUUAUUAUUUCAAAUUUUAAAAAUUUUGAAAAUUAUUUUUAAAGGUAUUUUUUUAUUUUGAAAACAAAAAAUGAAAAUAUAAAUAAACAAACACAUAAUCUAUUUUAAACUCAAAUAUUUAUGAUACAAAUAUUUUUAAAAUGGUAAUUAGAACCUUUCCUUGAGGUGGUAGCUUUUUCGGUAUGAUUUAGUGUUUGAAACAUGGGAAAGUAUAAUAGAAACAAUUUUUUUUUCUAUUCCUAUUUCUUCUCUGAUAGGAAUGAAUUUAUUCUAAUUCUUGUAUUUAGAGGCAUAUAGAAAAUGUAGAGUUGGAUAAUCAUUUAUUUCCAUUUCAAUUGUAAGUGACAAUAGGGAUGAUAAUGAAAAAAAAUAAAAAAUAAAAAAUAAUAUAUGUACAUAUUAUUUAAAAUAAUAUAUUUUAUUUCUAUUUAUGCAUAGUUUAAAAUAAAAUUUUAUUUUCAUAAAAAAAAUAUUUGAGAGUUUUUUUUUGUUAAAUAAUAAAAACCAUAUUUGAGCCUUUGAUUUAAAAACAAAAUUGUUUUUAAAAAUUAAUACCACUAUUUAACUGUUGUUCUUGAGGAAUAAAUUUCAAAAAUAAAAUAAUAAGUUUAAUAAUUUUUAAAAUUAUUAUUGAUCAUUAUUAAUUUUAAAUUAUUAUUAUUUACAAUAAAUAAAUUUAUAAGAUGUUAAUAUCUAUAUAUUUUUGUAGUGUUUAUAUCCUAACAUUACUAUAUUAUGUUUUAUUAAAAAAUAAUUAUUUUUACAUUUAUCUGUAAUACAAAAUUAGUUUAAAUUUAAUAAGACUUUAGUUAAAUUUAUUAUAUAUUAUAUAAAUUUAAUUUAUAAUAUAUUUUAUAUAAAAUCAAAAUAAAAAAAUAUUUUAAAAAAUAAUUUAUUCAAAUUUUUUUUUUUUUUGAAAAUAACCUACAUAAUCAAAAUACCUUCUCCUCCAACUUAGAAUGAAUUGAAAUCUUACUUAUAGAUAAAAUUCAUUUCCAUUAUCAUGGUAUAUGGGAAUGAGAAUGAAUAUUUUCUUUUCAUUCCUAUUACUCUUUGAAUUUGAAUUGAUUUGAUAAUUCCAAUUCAUAUUUUUUGAUGUAUUUAGAAAUGUAAGGUUAUAAUGAUUAUUUGUUUUUAUUUCAAUAUUAAAAUAUUUAUUUUCAUUAGAAAAAAAAAACCUCCCACCCAGUGCUUAAUUUAAAAAAAAAAAAAUGUGUAUGAUUUAAAAACAAAUUUGUUUUAAAAAUUUAUACCACUUUGGGAAACAAUUUUUAAAAACAAAAUAAGAAGUUUUGUAUUUUUUAUAAAUAAUUUGAAACAAAAAAAAAAUAUAUGUAUAUAAUAACUACAAAAAUUAAUAGACAUAAUUAAUUUUUUAAUAUCUUUAAUGAAUCUUAUUAAAUAAUUUUUUUAUAGAUUAAAUAAAAAAUAGAAUAUUACAUCCUUAAUUGAGUAGUAAAGAUACGGGUGUAAUGAAAAAUUGACUUAUUUAUAACUUAAAAAUUAAACUUGAUUUGUUUUUAAAUUCAUUUAAAAUAGAAUAAUAUCAACAAUUAUUAAAUUUAAAUUGUUAUUAUUUAUUUAAAAAUAAAUAAAUCAAUUAUGCUUUAAUAAGAUAUUAAUAUCCAUAUUUUGAUAAUAUGGAUAAAAAUAUAAUUUAUGAGUUUAUUAUAAUAUUAAUAUUCAUAUUUUAUUAAAAACUAUUUAUUUAUAAUCACAUAAUUAUUUUUAUUUUAAUGGGAAUUGAAUUAUUAUUUUUAUUAUUUUUAUUAUAUAAAUGGAAUUUAUAAUUUUUUUUGACAAAAUCUAAAUAAAAAAUAUUUAUCUAGAAAAGUUUUUGAUUUUUAAUUUUUGAAAAGUGUUUUUAAGAAUAAGUUGCACCAAGGAAUGAAAAUAUUUUAUUCAAACAUAAGAAUGGAUGAGAAAAGGAAUGAAUGAGAUGUCUUUCCCAUUUCCCAUUCCCGUAUACUUAUUCAAAUGUGGAAAUGAAAUGAGAUGUGUAUUUGUAAUAGACAAGAGGCAACCAGCUCCACGGACGUGGGCAUGUCCUCCACUUUUUCAUGGGGGCCCUUCGUUCACAUGGGCCCUCUAAUUUAAUCUUGGGCCCUCCACCCAGACCUAAUCUUAGCUCACAUGGGCUUGAAGCCUUUGAUCAAUUCUCCAAAUUUAAGGGCAUGAGCCAGGAGGAGGAGAAGGUUGAGUCUUAGUGGGUAAUGUUUUGUCGUUUUUAUGAAAUAAAAAAGCAUGACUUAAAGCUUAAGGUUGCAAUCCUAAUGCCAAUUUGGUGGGUUUCUAGCAAUUGCCAUCCAUGAAUCGGGCCUUACUUUCAUUUUCCCUAAACUCGACUUGUCUGGAAGAAGAAUGUCGAGGCUUUCAAUGGAGAAGAUAUCGGGUCAUAAUGAUAUCCAUAAUAAAUUCGAUGAUGAUUUAUUGAAGCAAUAAGAAUGGAUUUAUUUUUAUAAAAUAUUAAUUGAUUUUCAGGUAUCAAAAUCGAAUAAAGAAUUGAUAUCAAAGCCAAAAAUUAUGGAUUCGGGCGAGGGGAGGGUCGUCCACCGCCCUCUCGAAGAUGUCAUCACGGCAUCAACCCAUGGAUCAAGAUCAGUUGACGUUUCUACAAAGACUUGAUCCUGAUUGGUGCGUGCAUCUCACUUGCCCUGAUUGAAACGUGGGGUUCACUUCUAUAUCAAGCCAAAUCAUCGCACAGUCCCGUUCAGGCACGCUAUAGGCCUACAGCACAACCAAAAUCCAAAUCAUAUAAAACGACGCCGUUUCCUUCCCUCACAUACGCCAUAUACUAGUAUGCACACUUUUCUUUCAGAAUAAGCUCUGUUUCAACUUUCUGCCAACAGAGCAGAACCCAUCCCGGAGUCUGACCCACUCGCCGGAAACUAUGUCCUCCACCUGCAUAUCCAGGUGCGGCACCGAUGCUCGAAACCCAGUUCGAGCCACCUAUCUCAACGUAUACAAGUGGCCGGAGUCUGACGCGGCGUUCCUGAGAUCAGUGGGGUCCAAGCCUCAUCCAAGGGUGGUGGAUAGCAUUUCUUGCCGGCAAUUGUAUCUGAGAAGCUACACUUUCUCGAGAAAAGAGACUGUUCCCCAGAAGACCAAGAAGUGUUUUGGAAGAGUGAGAGAGAGAGUAGCACUCCACAGAAAAAAGAGAAAGUGUCGUGGUGUCCGGAGGCGGUGCACGGUGCUGAGGAGGGCGAAGGAGUUAACUUGCUCCGCUUUUUUGUCCAUCUUCCGCCGCUUGCUUUCUUGCACGACCAAAGUUGAUGUGGUGGACCGAUUGUAGGGGGCGCCUGAUGAAUUUUUCUCGGUUUUAUUUAUCAUAAAGGUUUUUCUUUUCGAUGGCGCUUUCUUCUUUUCUGUUUGGGGACUGGGAAAGUUGUGGGUCAAAUGGAAAAAGCGGAGAAAACGUACUCUUUGGAGACCACAUUUUUCCCCCUUAUUUUUCUUCUGGAAUCAGAAAAUUUAUGUAAUUUUAUUUCUCUGUUCUUACUUUGAUCGCACAAGCCAAUGAAUCUACGGAAAUUUUAGUGUUAAUUCUUCCUCAGAAACACUGGAAAAUGAGUUUUUAGUUUUAUUUUCGAUGACAUUUUGUUUUCUGUUUGGCAACUCAGAAAUUUUGAUUUGAAUUCCCCAUCAAAGCAAUGCUAAAGGCUCGUUUGGACUUAACACUGAUUAUGAUUUUAAUUUUUUGGGUUUCGUCGUGACAGUGAUGAAGCAGGCUAGCCAACGGAUGUGUUGACUUUUAGAGUUGAAUCAGCCCAAUAGUAUUAUUCCACGGUUGGGAUCUUAAGCCAAUGAAUACGAAUUUCCAAAACUUCGAAGAACAUGGGUGUGACCAAAAUCCAUAAUUUAUUUGAAAUAUUAGAUUUAAUUUGAAAAAAAAAAAGUCAAAAAUAGAGCUGACAAUGACAUAAAGCUAGCAAAGCAUCCU